rnacentral:ncRNA from 2 species
ACAAACCUUCGGGGCAGGGUGCAAUUCCCGAUCGGUGGUACAGCCCACGAGCCUGUAGUACCGAAUUAAUUCGGUACUACGGCAUGAUCCGGCGCAACUCCGGAGCCGACAGUGACAGUCUGGAUAGAAGAAGGUGACG